rnacentral:lncRNA from 9 species
AUCUCGCCAGCACCUUCUUUCUCUCUCUGCCUGCCCUGCAGCCCAGCCUCAGUUCCAGAAAGGGGAAGGCUUGCCUGGACACUGUCAUGAAGUUCUAUCUGGGCUUCUGUGUUGCGUUCAAGUGCUGAGGGUCAUCAGACUGGCUCCCUGGUCCCUGGUGUCGAGAAGGAGUCAACAUGUCAACAUUGAGAAGGGGGAAAAAAUCCAGCUACCAAAGGGAAACCUGAAAGCUCUUUGCAAGUGUAGGAAGAUGCUUCUCAAAAUCAGAUUCUAAAACUGAAUUGAGUGGUUUGCUGUUUGCAGCUUUCUCCUGGUUUGAGUUUUAUCUAAUUCUCUUUUUUUAAAGGGCAUCCCAUCGUCCUUCAUCAUACCCUGCCAUCAUCCACUUAGCCUCCCUGAUGUCCAAGUCCGGCUUCAUCUGACAUACCAACAGCACUUUCCUGAUCCUAUUCAUCAAAGAUGACUACUUCAUUCAUAGGGAGGCUCCUCACUGACUUCUCACCAGCACUGCUUGUGGUGACAUUUCUAUGGGGGAGGUAUUAUCCCCUUAUUUCUGGACCCCCUUCUGCUUUGAUUCAAAUUCUUUUGGAGCCCAUCUCCAAUCCCACUUGAUGACUAAAAGGUUCUCAGUUGACACGGAGCUUCUUUCUUCCCCAAAUGUUUACUAAGCACUGGCUCUGAUUCAGGCACUAAAUGUGGGGAUACCCAAGGCUGACCGGGAACCUAUCCUCAGAGGUUCUUGGGGACCCAGACAAGUGCACAGGCACUUAAGAGUCCAACCUGCAUCAAACCAGGGAAGGCUUCCUGAAAGAGGUGAUCUCAAAAUGAAGACAAAACCAGUAAGUUAAUUGAGUGAAAGGAAUAAAGAGGGAGAACAUGUCACUUUUCAUUGUACUAUGCCAUUAAGCAUCUUCUUGCACCCCGCUUUGCAUUUAUUUGUAUUGUUUCUAUGCCUAAGGUGCAUGUGUUGUUACCUUCAAGGUUUUAUAACUUUUUGAGGGCAAGAGUCUGUGGUACUUUUCCACUUAUCCUUCUCAAGGCUUAGCACAGUGCUGACUACUUUGCAAGGAAAGGAAGUAGCAUAGAUUAUGCCUGCUCUGUCCCCACCAAGUUGGGUGCAAGUGGUUGUUUAAGUUACAAGUUACUAUAUUACUGAAAGGAAUCCAAGACAGUUCAUCUAGGGCAACAGACUUCGUUCUUCAUCCUUCGGGAUGAAUCUCUUUGUUUCUUCUGGGGCUUGAUUUCUUCAUCUCUGGAAUGAAGGGAUCCCAGCACAGUGUCCUCCAGCUCUGUGAUCUGCCUUUUCCUGUGGCCUCAAGGGGCCAUCUGGUUGUCGUUGAGCUGGUGGGAAGACAACUGCAGAAGACAGUUCAGGGGUUAAGUCAGGAAACCCAACGUGGAAAUGAAAACGCAACCCCAAGUGCUUAAGUGCUAGGCUGGUGGAGAACAAGGAAAGGAUGUCCCUGAGAAAUGACCCCGGCCUGAGCCUGGGGUCUCCAUCCUCUGUGCCCAAGACCAGACGUGCUCAGCACACGCUGCCAACCAGGGAGGAACAAUUCUCGCUUGGGCUUUGCUCAGAGGGGCUAGUAGAGCAUCAACACCUGCGGUCUUGUAACCUAGGCUACAGAAAUAGCAAGUGGGUGCGCAGAAGGUAAGCUGAUGAAAUAGACAGUACUGGGUACAGACACGUACAGCAGAGCUUUGGUGCUAAAAACACCUAGUUCAGGACAUCAUGUACUAAUUCAAGGGUGGCCCCCCUUUCUCUCUCUCAAACUUUUCAAAACAGGAAGAAAGUUUUGUUAACUGCAGACAACAAUAACCCAUGUCCUUCUAGAGAGAUCUUUCUGAAAGCCCUCCAAGAAAGCUACCUUCACUAAGGGGAGCUAGUCACUUUUUUUUUCUUCACUCUGUGCUUCUGGUAGUGUUUUGGAAGGUUGGCACAAGGCCAUCUGAAACCACACUGGGGUGUUAGGUAAUCAUGUUCUCAUUAAAAUGCUGUUCUGUGGUUUAAUUUUCAACGGUUUCUUUGCAGCUUGGAAACACAUACUAUAGUCUUGAGGCAAAGAGAGACUUUGUUUACAGGCAAAAAGGCAGGAAGAUGGGCUGCCUAUAAGAUCCUUCCUUGUGUGUUUCCAGAAAGGAAGCAGCCUCUUUGAUUCUAGAGAACGUGAGCUGAGUAUGAGUGUAGUACUCAUGAGGAUUCCUAGAGAGUGAUAAUAUUUAGUUGACCCUGGGGACAAAUGCCUCAAAAACAUUCUAAGACAGUCCAUAUUGAAAGUGCCAAGUAGUAUCUAUCCAUGACCCUCUGUCCACUUAGUUGCUGAGUUGAAUUCUUUUACUGAAUGUCCACCUAACUCGAGGCACUGAACUAGGCCUUAAGGACGGAGACACAGAAACCACUGCCCACAAGAAAUCACUACCAGUUGGGGUGCAGAUGAGUAACUGGGCAUGCAGUAUAGUGGGGUAAGCAAGCCCUGUUUCUUCUUAUCUCUAAGAAAUUCCCACUUGGAGCCCUUUGAAUUUUAUCAGUGGAGACAGCAAACUAAAGCCAAGGGUUAUCAUUUACUUUUUAAAAAGGAGGAUAAUAAAGCUUCCAAGUUUUCCCAUUAGACAGUUUUCUAGGAAUUUCCUCUAACUCCUCCCUUCUCUGUCCUGCCGACCUGCUCCUACCUGACCAGCUCUGGCUCUAUGACCGUGACAGGUCCUUGACUCAGCCACUCCAGCUCUGCUGUUUGCACAUUGCCAGCAGUAGGAUCUUGGCUUCCUUCCUACUUCUUCCUUUGACUCUUAGCCUCCCCGAGGCCUUACAGAAACUGGGCUGGCCCUGUUAUAUCCUUUCAGAGAGACAGAUGGAAAAGCACCCAGAAUGCUGUCCAGAUAUGAUGAAGAUGGCCACAGGUGAACAGAGCUGACUAAACUCAACUCCAGGACGAUCUGAGCAUUUCAGAUCAGGCAUCUUCUAGUAAAAAUUCUACCUGUUCCAGAAAUGGAUGAAAAAGAAAUUCAUCUUUGGAUCAUUUUUCCCCUCCAGUUUUCUUCGUCUUUCCUUCCAGUUUGCCCUCACUCUUUGAGUUCUUUCUCUUUUAGCUCUUUCUCUUUUUCUCUCUUUGGUUCGAUAGUGUUAUUAUAUGCAUCUUAACGGAGAAAUUUUCAUGGUGACUUUUGACAUAUAUUUUGAGGGCUUCAGGUUUUCAUAAAGCUUACCACAGGUCAAAAUUUAGAAGUGCCUUGUAUUAAAUCUUUCAACCAUUAAAUAUUUGACUGAAUUGAGAUGUUUAAGAAAAGGUCUUUAAAAAUAUUUAAAGAUCAAUGUGAAGUCUUUGGUUUUACUCAAAACCCCUGUCAUUGGUGAACAUUUUUGAGGCAAGUCAUAUUUGCCGACACUUUACCAGAGAUAUUUUAUAUACCCCAAAGCACCGGUGAGUGUAGAGUGAACUGGACUGAUUUCAUGUUAGUUUCUCAAAACACUGACAUUAAAGCAGGUAAAAAUCAGUGUGGUUUUCUUCCUGUGGGGUUUCACUUUGACUUUCAACCUUGAAUCUGAGGGUCUGAUGAACCAUAAAUGCAAAGUGAAACUUGGGAGGGUGCGUACAUAUCACAGCAAACAGACUUCUAUGAAUGGGAGCUGAGUUCCCGUUGAGUUUCUUAUCAUCACCUCCUGUUUGUGAGAUGUCACCCUCUAUUCCUCAUAGAAAAUAUGGUCCUUUGCCUUGAAGGAAUUUACUUUAAAAUAAAAAUGUAUUGGAGAUCCCGCUGUGGUGCAGUGGGUUAAGAAUCUGACUGCAGUGGCUCAGGGUUCUGCAGAGGUGCAAGUUCAAUCCCCGGCCCAGUACAGUGGGUUAAAAGAUCUGGCCUGGCCCAGGAACUUCCAUAUGCCAUGGAUGUGGCUAUAAAAAUUAAAUUAAAUUAAAUUCUAAAAAAAUGUAUUGUCAGUCAACCAUAUAGCAAGGCAUUUUCUAGUUCUUCUCUUCAAAUUUCCAUGCUCAUAAGGACUACUUUAUUUAAACCAGAGGUGCCCUCUUUGCAGUGUGGGUUGCAAGACUUUCCUGCUCCCUGUCACCUGGAAGAUUGGAGGAAAGGGAAUGUGAAAGGAUCUGAGCUGCCUAAUAUCAUUACCAUGUUUGGAUAAGGUGGCCGCCUGCCCACCUCCCUGACUGCUCCCCAAUCCCCUCUGGCUACAGGAGCUCUGGAAAGCAAUGGAAAGGCUAGAGAAUAUGGAAAGGAGACCCUGGGCCGCAAGAUGCAUUUUCCUGUCUUCCUACUUUUGACUGCUUGGGCUCAAGUAAAUCAAUACAAUUAGCAUAGUAGAAGCUCACCCAGCACAUUGCUCUUGAGUGUAGGCUUUUUUUUUUUUUUUUUUUUUCCUUUUCUUUUCAGGGCCACACAUACGGCAUAUGGAAGUUCCCAGGCUAGGGAUUGAAUUAGAGCUGCAGCUGCCGGCGUACACCACAGCCAUAGCAACUCUGGAUCUGAGCCCUCCUCUGCAGCCUACACCACAGGUCAUGGCAACGCAGGAUCCUUAACCCGCUGAGUGAGGCCAGGGACCAAAGAACCCACGUUCUUAGGGAUGCUAGUUGGGUUUGUUACCACUGAGCCACAAUAGGAAUUCCUGAGUAUACACUAUUGAGUGUUUUGGAUGCUGAAUUCACUCAGACUCUGGAAAGUUUUAUGUAAAAAGUGGGAAAUAUACAGAAGUACUUUUUUCAUAACAGUUUAACCAGAUUUAGUGUUCAAGGUGGAUGCCUGGGUGUUUGCCUGCACGAUGAAUGUGGCUCUUAAAUCCUAAAAUCCCAUGAGUACCUGAGUUGAGAAGGGGAUCUAUCAGCCCUUUCCCCUCCCCCAAUUGCUUACUUACAGUUGUUAAAGUUUAAGCACAGGAAGGAUCAAAAUCAGUGAUCAAAUGGCAAGGUGCUAUCGUGUGGCUCUGUGAGAGAGUUUACACAUGUUCAAAAUUUCAGAUAUGAUUGACAGAGGAGUGUGUGUGUGAAUCAAACCCCUUGUUCUGUUUUGCAGUCACAAAGAAUCCUUUCCCUUUGAAACCCAAGAAGGUCUCCUUCUUCAGACCUGCGGAGGGAAUUAGGUAGCAAAUAACCAUGAAUAUAUUUUUUUAAAUCCAUUAAAAGUUUAAUUGAUACAGCAUUUAUGGAGCGUUUAGGAAUUUUAGGAUGGCUUUCUUAGUCUACCUCCCCAAUGCAGCCACCUAAUGUUAAUAGGUAUGUUUUCUUCUCUAAAUCCUCUCACCUGACCUUGAUUAUUGUUUAAACUUUAAAUAAAUUUAUUAUUAUCUGAUUAAAUGAUAUUAGGCGAAAACUUGACCCAGUGAUCAAAGGUUUUCUUUCUUUCUUUUCCUGAUGAUAAUUCACACUAGAAUCCUGAAUAGAGAUUAGUGACUCUGUGGAACAAAGAUUUUGUGUUUGGCUUUCAGAAAUGGUUGUGCAAAUAUUCAUUUGAAAGCCCUUUUAAUGGCCUAAGAUGGAGGAGUUGACAAUUGGGAAAGGCCAGGUGGACCUGAGCUGGGAUGAGUGGUUUCUUGGCAGGGAGCCCAUUCUCAUGAUGAAAGCUGGGAAAAUUUGCUUGGGGAGAGUAAUCCAAUGAUAUGAAAGGAUUAGACAGGCUUACAUUUAGCAAACUGUAAACCAUGAAUCUGAAUGGUGCACCUCUUCCCCACACAGACAGCUGCUUUGCUUGUAAAAUAGGGCAACCAAAAUUUAAAAAAAAGGAGAAACCAGAGAGAGAGUGGGAAGAGGGAAGCCCUGGAUGUUUCAAAAUGUGGUUGCCCACGUGCAAACCGAGUUUGCUGGCAGUAAUUCCUGAUCAGAACUAACAGAAGCCUCUUCUUAGCAGAGAACAGCUCUCCAGUAUUACCCCAAUGACAGGUGGAGACUUCCACCAACUUGAACUGGCACAGGCUCCAAGUUCACCUUCUACCUCUUACUCCUCUUGGUCCAGACACUUAAUUACUUCACCUCCGAAUACUUAGCUAUUAGUGACACUAAUUAAAACCUGGCUGGCCCUUAGAUGUAUUAUGAAGCUGUUUGUAAAAUGCUGUGAAAGCAAGUUGUUCCAAGAGCUAUUAAUUCUGAUAAAGGCCGUGUCAGCUUCGGUUAUGUGCUCAUAAGUGCAAACCCAACUGGUCAAUAAUCUCCUGGGAUGGUCUAAAUUGCACAGCUGGCUUUUUAGAAAAUGUGUGUGGAGGAAAUAGAAAAGAUUGCUGAAAAUGCCCAAGUAAGGUUAGAUAAUAAAUGGAACUGUACUGGGCAGGGGGAGAGCGGAACAAAGAAGUUAUUAUUGGGCAUCAAGUAUGUACCGUCUUGUACAAAGGGGCGAUUUACGCUGUGUUAGUAAGGUAUUUGGGAAUAGGUUAUUAAAAUAUGAAGUCAACGCAAAGCAUAAUAAGACUGAUGAAACAAGUUCCCAGCGGUGCCUGCUCCAGGUCAUUUUCUUUGCUGGCUGUCUUCUUGUCAUUACUGCCUGGUACAACCGAGGACAUGAGUUGAAAGAUGACUCCUUCAGUCACCAGUUUGUUGGGUCUGUGGGCUUUCACCUGAAGACUCUUCCUACAGAAUGUUAUUUCACAGAAUAUAAAUAUCUCUAUAUGUAAAUCUUAGUCUUUCAAGUAGAUAACGAAACAAACAACAGUAAUCAUGGUGAGCUGCAUAUGAUAGAUGCAUAGGUACAUGAUGGUUAAGUAGAUAUACAGAUGAAUGGAUGGAUGAUAAGUAAAAGCUUCAUUCAUUCACCUAUUCAGUAAAUAUUUAGUAAGUGUGUACUAUGUGCCUGGUAUCAUUCUAGGUGAUAAGGGUGCUGGGAUGAAAAGAUGAGGUCCCUGUACUCAGUGAACUUAUAUUUUAGUCAAGACCACAUGUAACAAACUAGUAGACACAUGUACAUGAUAAUCACAAUGAAGAGCUAUGAAGAUAAUAAAACCGGGUAAUAUAAUAAAAAUGGACAGAAUAAUGAGAUAAAAUUACAGUUCUCCUAAGAGUCCAGAUAAUUUAGUCUUGUGGUUUCAAACUCAAUUUUAACAUCAGGAUCCAUAUCUUUUCAAUUGAAAAAUACUUGUCAUAUGGGGAAACCUCAAUAUUUAAUAGUGGUAGAAGCAUAUCUGCUGUAGUUGAAGGGUGUGUAUGUUUGUCAGACCCCUAUUCACCAAUUUAAGUAAAUUGUAACAAGUUGACUACAAAGUUGUAUCCAUCAUAAAAUAAAAAUAAAACAAUAUUAAAA